AGAUUGAACGCUGGCGGCAUGCCUUACACAUGCAAGUCGAACGGCAGCACGGGAGCAAUCCUGGUGGCGAGUGGCGAACGGGUGAGUAAUACAUCGGAACGUGCCCAGUAGUGGGGGAUAACCCGGCGAAAGCCGGACUAAUACCGCAUACGACCUACGGGUGAAAGCAGGGGAUCGCAAGACCUUGCGUUAUUGGAGCGGCCGAUGUCAGAUUAGCUUGUUGGCGGGGUAAAAGCCCACCAAGGCGACGAUCUGUAGC
rnacentral:rRNA from 1 species